rnacentral:rRNA from 1 species
CUACGGGCCGCACCAGUGGGGAAUAUUGGACAAUGGGCGCAAGCCUGAUCCAGCAAUACCGCGUGUGUGAAGAAGGCCUGCGGGUUGUAAAGCACUUUCAAUUGUGAAGAAAAGCGAGAGGUUAAUAGCCUUUUGUCUUGACGUUAACUUUAGAAGAAGCACCGGCUAACUCUGUGCCAGCAGCCGCGGUAAUACAGAGGGUGCGAGCGUUAAUCGGAAUUACUGGGCGUAAAGCGUGCGUAGGCGGUUUAGUAAGUCAGAUGUGAAAGCCCUGGGCUCAACCUGGGAACUGCAUUUGAAACGGCUGAACUAGAGUGUGGUAGAGGGAAGUGGAAUUCCGGGUGUAGCGGUGAAAUGCGUAGAUAUCCGGAGGAACACCAGUGGCGAAGGCGACUUCCUGGACCAACACUGACGCUGAGGUACGAAAGCGUGGGUAGCAAACAGGAUUAGAUACCCCCGUAGUC